UCUAGGCAAAUCACUUAGUCUCUGUCUCAUUUUCCUCAUCUGGAAAAUGGGGAUAAUAAUAACAUCUACCUUCUGGAUUUGUUGUGUGGCUCAAAUGAGAUCAUAUUUACCAAGUGCCUGGCUUAUAGGAGCCACAAAUAAAUUCUUGUUCCUUUCUCUUCCCUCAAAGGACUAGAAGCACAUGCCAUGGGCUCGAAAGGUCUCCUAAAAUGGAGUCCAGGGGUAAUUGAACAUUAAAGCAUGGUUGCAUUGUACAAAGUCUGUAGUGUCACCUGGGGGAGUGGUAGAAGAUAAUGCCACUCAUUCUCAUGUUGAGGCUCCAGUUUGUUUGUUACAAAAUCAGCCCCUUCUGAGUCAAACGGAAACAUGGGAAAGAGCUGAAGAUAUGGUGGAGGGAAGGUUUAAAAAGGAGAUGGACGGACAAGGAUGGAAUCCAGUUGAGUACCAUGAAGGCUGAAAGAAAGAUGGCAGAAUAAGAUGUAGGAAAUGAUUCAAGAUCCAUUUGUCCUACUUUGGGCUAAGUAAGUAACGAUAGGCCAGACACUUGGAGGCAGGGCCAAACUUUAGCUCAUGGAUUAGGAAACGCACCCUGAGCUCAUGGCACCCAAUUCCCUGAAAUUGACUUAAGAACAAUUUUUCUUCUUCCAGAGGGUUGCCAGCUUCAAGUCUGAGGACAAGUAAAUGACCAUCAGCUUGGGCUAGAGCUUACUGCAGUGGAUCACUUCACUGAAAGGGAUUGUUUCCAGAAGGCCAGAACUUGGCCUGGCGUGGAAGCAAAUGAUCUCAACGACCCAGCCUGAAGCCCACGGUGAAUGGCAUGGAAACAAGAGAGAACACCAUGGGAAUAUCAGUAGAGCUACCACACUUCAGAGAGGACCAUCUUAUUCAGAGAGGAUACCUGGGUGCAUGUACAAGAAUGGAUAAGCUUCUGGCUGGAAGAGAGAACUUGUGGAACAUGAGGAGAAGAGACAGAUAUGCAAAUCUCUCCCCAGGCCAAUAUAUCCAUGUGGCCUAA
rnacentral:lncRNA from 1 species